rnacentral:ncRNA from 1 species
CGUGGGUCCCGGGAAGAGUUCUCUUUUCUUGGUAAGGGGCGGCGACCCUGGAAUCGGUUCGCCCGGAGAUAGGGACAUGGGCCCCGUAAAGCAGCACGUCUCUUGUGCUGUCCGGUGAGCUCGCGUCGGCCCUUGAAAAUCCGAGGGAGACGGUGUAAUUUUCGUGCGAGGUCGUACCCAUAUCCGCAGCAGGUCUCCAAGGUGUAGGCCC